rnacentral:rRNA from 1 species
CCCGCAACGAGCGCAACCCUUGUUCUGUGUUGCCAGCAUGCCCUUCGGGGUGAUGGGGACUCACAGGAGACCGCCGGGGCCAACUCGGAGGAAGGUGGGGACGACGUCAAGUCAUCAUGCCCCUUAUGUCUUGGGCUGCACACGUGCUACAAUGGCCGGUACAAUGAGCUGCGAUANCCGUGAGGUGGAGCGAAUCUCAAAAAGCCGGUCUCAGUUCGGAUUGGGGUCUGCAACUCGACCCCAUGAAGUCGGAGUCGCUAGUAAUCGCAGAUCAGCAUUGCUGCGGUGAAUACGUUCCCGGGCCUUG